CCUACGGGGGGCUGCAGUGGGGAAUAUUGGACAAUGGGCGAAAGCCUGAUCCAGCCAUGCCGCGUGUGUGAAGAAGGCCUUCGGGUUGUAAAGCACUUUCAGUGGGGAAGAAAGCCUUGGGGCUAAUACCCUCGAGGAAGGACAUCACCCACAGAAGAAGCACCGGCUAACUCCGUGCCAGCAGCCGCGGUAAUACGGAGGGUGCGAGCGUUAAUCGGAAUUACUGGGCGUAAAGCGCGCGUAGGCGGUCUGAUAAGCCGGUUGUGAAAGCCCCGGGCUCAACCUGGGAACGGCAUCCGGAACUGGCAGGCUAGAGUGCAGGAGAGGAAGGUAGAAUUCCCGGUGUAGCGGUGAAAUGCGUAGAGAUCGGGAGGAAUACCAGUGGCGAAGGCGGCCUUCUGGACUGACACUGACGCUGAGGUGCGAAAGCGUGGGUAGCAAACAGGAUUAGAUACCCGGGUAGUC
rnacentral:rRNA from 1 species